GGUGUCCUGCUCAGCAAAGGAUGUGCUGGGUGGCAGAAGAGGAUUCUUGGCCGAGCGUGGAAAAUCUCUCUGCUCCUUCCUGAAGGACGCAAUCUUCCACUUGGAAAGGGCCUCCCAAGGAUCCCUGGUAUCCUCUGAGAGCUCUGAGCUGCCGCACCAAUUUGAAGCUGACUUCAUUUUUGGUCUUCCCCUUCAGCAGAAAAGCUCAGACAGCCGAGCCAAGCGAGACGCUGGAUUUCCUUUGGCAUCAAG
rnacentral:lncRNA from 1 species